rnacentral:rRNA from 1 species
CGAUGGCGGCGUGCUUAAUACAUGCAAGUCGAGCGAGCUGCUUCGGCAGCGAGCGACGCACGGGUGAGUAACGCGUAGAUGAUCUACCCUCGAGACUGAGAUACCUCCGGGAAACUGGAGUUAAUACCAGAUAACGCACAUUGGUUGGUUCCGAUGUGUUAAAGCGGUGCAAGUCGCACUUGAGGAUGAGUCUGCGGCCUAUCAGCUAGUUGGCGGGGUAACGGCCUACCAAGGCGAAGACGGGGUAGCUGAUCUGAGAGGAUGAUCAGCCACAUUGGGACUGAGACACGGCCCAAACUCCUACGGGAGGCAGCAGUAGGGAAUAUUGCGCAAUGGGGGGAACCCUGACGCAGCGACGCCGCGUGAGUGAUGACGGCCUUUUUGGUUGUAAAGCUCUGUAAAGAGGGAAAAAUGUUUAUGUGAAGAGCAUAAAUUGAUGGUACCUCUAAAGUAAGGACCGGCUAAAUACGUGCCAGCAGCCGCGGUAAUACGUAUGGUCCUAGCGUUGUCCGGAAUGACUGGGCGUAAAGGGUGUGUAGGCGGAUGUAUAUGUCAGAUGUGAAAUACCUCGGCUUAACUGAGGCAUUGCGUUUGAAACUGUACAUCUUGAGCAUGUCAGGGGUAAGCGGAAUUCCCGGAGUAGCGGUGAAAUGCGUAGAUAUCGGGAAGAACACCGGUGGCGAAGGCGGCUUACUGGGGCAUAGCUGACGCUGAGGCACGAAAGCGUGGGGAGCGAACGGGAUUAGAUACCCCGGUAGUCCACGCCGUAAACGAUGGAUACUAGAUGUCAGUUGCAUAAUAGCAGUUGGUAUCGAAGCCAACGCGAUAAGUAUCCCGCCUGGGGAGUACGGUCGCAAGAUUAAAACUCAAAGGAAUUGACGGGGGCCCGCACAAGCGGUGGAGUAUGUGGUUUAAUUCGAUGCAACGCGCAAAACCUUACCCGGACUUGACAUCCCGUUGAAUGGACCUAGAGAUAGGACCAGGCUCUUCGGAGACAGCGGAGACAGGUGCUGCAUGGCUGUCGUCAGCUCGUGUUGUGAGAUGUUGGGUUAAGUCCCGCAACGAGCGCAACCCUUGUGUUUAGUUGCCAUCAUUCAGUUGGGCACUCUAAACAGACUGCCGAGGUUAACUCGGAGGAAGGUGGGGAUGACGUCAAGUCCUCAUGGCCCUUAUGUCCGGGGCCACACACGUACUACAAUGGUAUAGACAGAGGGAAGCUAAACCGCGAGGUGGAGCGAAUCCCAGAAACUAUAUCCCAGUUCGGAUUGGGGUCUGCAACUCGACCCCAUGAAGUUGGAAUCGCUAGUAAUCGCGKAAUCAGCAUGCCGCGGUGAAUACGUUCCCGGGCCUUGUACACACCGCCCGUCACACCAUGGGAGUUGUUCUCACUGGAUGAUGUUGGGCCAGCCGCAAGGAGGCAGGCAUUAAUGGGGAGGAUAGCGACUUGGGUGAAGUCGUAACAAGGUAACC